AACCCUCGAUCCCCAAUUCAGUCUCCUGCCACUCCACCGCCGCCGCCACCAUCGCCCUGUCCAACGCCACCAUCGUCCGGUCCACUGCCGCCUCCACCAUCGUCCGGUCCAUCGCCGCAGCCGCCGCCAGACCAUCCUCCAGUCCACCGCCGCUGCUGCCUCCCCUUCCCGCGGAAGGCCGUUCUUCCGCCCGCAUCUGCCUCACCACCGGCGUAGCGCUGGUCUCCACCUCGCCACCCGCCGGAGCACCAGCACCCGCCUCCCCACCGAGCUCCCGUACUAGUCCCCCCAUUCGACUUUACACAUCUUCACCUCUGGCUGUCCGUACUCCUCUGCUCGCUGCAUCACAAGCCCUCUGUCUUCUUAUCUCUGAAACAUCGGCAAACAGCUAGGGGAGUUGGCUAGCCACCCUUUUCGACGCCGUAAUUUCCCAGCUUGAACAAGUAUAUUGCGGGUUUUAAAAGAGGAGUUAGCUUCCAGCAAAGGAAGAUUUUUGGGCUUAAAAGUCAUGAUUACCAUAUCUUCAUGGAACGGCUGCUACCAGUUGCAUUUCGUGGCUUCAUUCCGGAGUGGUACGAUUACUAUCAUGAUUCGACUCUAGAUUUUCAGCAGCGGACAGCCGCAGAUCGUGUGAAGGAAGAGUUUUGGAACUUGUUUGAGCUGCAUGUGGAUGACGAGGAAGAUGACAAUGCCCGAAUCCAAAUUGAGCAAGAGGCUAACCGGAUUAUUGACACAUAUGCAAGGAAAAAGGUGAAAGACAUGUUGUACCAACUUCGUGUGGAUGCUGUGAAGCUUUACUAUGAGAAUCAAGGAGAGAAGCUUGAUGACUCGAUGGCUUGUGCAAGAGAACUCGAAUAUGAGCAAUACCUCCAGAGUAGGAUACCAUGGUGCAAGGAAGUUGCAUGGCCUGGACUAUGUCGUUAUUGGACAUCAAAGGAAUACAAGACCAACAGGGGGAGGGGACGAGAAGCUCGCUUGAAAUCUGAGGAUAUUGCUCAAAACCGAUGGGGCUAUUAAGAAAGCAGAUAUUAAAUCAGCAGCUAGAAAAAGAAAUGCUAGUGCAUCAAUUUCGCUCACAUUCGAGAGAAGGAACAACUCAGGCGUGUUAAUGAAGAAAAUGCAGAACUCAGGCGUGCUAAGGAGAUGCUACAGCAGAAAGUAGAUAUGCAUGGGCAGCUCAUAACUGCACUUUUCAAGGAGAUAGGAAAAGAGUUGCCGGCUCAUAUACUACAUAUACUAAGCCAUGGAGCUGUUUCGCAACCAGAAGGGACAAAUAACUCAUCUCAAGCCGGCUCGCAAGCGGUUGAUGGCAACAAUGAUGUCAUGGAGUCAAGCGAGGAGGAUGAAGCCGCUGGGAAUGUCGGCGAUCAGACCGUUGACGCAGCCAACCAUGGCGGAAACUGAUUGCUCAAUCAACAUGAUAACAUCAGACUAUAUGUGGUCGUAAUAUGCUCUUUUGUGGACUUGUGUAUCUGGUAUGGCUUAGGAAUGAGAACUAAGAUCUGGUGGUAGUUGCAAGCCGGCGUAUUUUGCUAGUAUUGUUGUAGUUGGCAGAUCCUUUUGUGGAUGGUACCUUUGUAGCCUUGUAGUGUAUGUAUGGAACUGAUGUUGAUACAUCUGGUGGUAGUUGCAAGCCGGUGUAUUUUGCUAGUAUUAUUGUAGUUAGCAGAUCCUUUUGUGGAUGGUACCUUUGUAGCCUUGUAGUGUAAUUAUAUACGUAUGGAACUGAUGAUGCUAUAUGAAGUUUGAUGUUGUCAUAUAAAUAUAUUCU